UUCUUGGGGUUCGGGGUGCCCCCAAAAUCCCGGACGAGCCCCCACGAUGUAGGACCCCAAAUUUAGGGACCCCGCUCUAAUCCAGGAACAGGGAACACCCACGAACACAAGAAUCC
rnacentral:pre_miRNA from 7 species